UACGUAGGGGGCUAGCGUUGUUCGGAUUUACUGGGCGUAAAGGGCGCGCAGGCGGCUCAUUUUGUCAGGCGUGAAAGCCCCGGGCUUAACCUGGGAACUGCGUUUGAUACGGAUGGGCUAGAGUUCGGGAGAGGAGAGUGGAAUUCCCAGUGUAGAGGUGAAAUUCGUAGAUAUUGGGAAGAACACCGGUGGCGAAGGCGGCUCUCUGGACCGAGACUGACGCUGAGGCGCGAAAGCGUGGGGAGCAAACAGG
rnacentral:rRNA from 1 species